rnacentral:lncRNA from 1 species
GCACUGAUACACCCCGAACCUAGUAAUUAUUUUUAUGUUGUAAUUUCCGAUUUAAUGGUAGCUAAUCAAUUCAGAAAUUUAUUCUGUUAUUUUGAUAGGGGUGGUGUAAACGAACUCGUAGACUCUUAAUUACCCGUUUGGUAGUUCGUAUGUGUAAGUGUUGUAGGAAAUAAUAAAGUUACUAAUAUUGGGCUUAGGCAUUUAAGGGAGACUUGCCAUUUAGGAAGGGAAAAGUAAAAAUCAGAAAAAAAAAUACAACCCUCUCCACUUCUCUCUCUCCUCGAGCCGAGCCCGACCCCGACCCGUCCGGUUCACCUCGACGGACCGCCGCCGUCCGGCCACACCAGACCUCCGCGCCGGUUCCGUUCAGCAGCUGGGACCUCGGUCGACCUUCCUAGGGUAGCAGCUAACCCCAUCUCGCCGGUGUUAGGGCGCCGGAGGCCCUAGAAGAAGCUGUGUCACCGUGUCUUCUUCUUGCCGGAAUUCCUUCCUCCGGCCAUCAAUCGGGGAACUAAAGGUAGGGUUUUGAUGCCCUCUUGCUGGUUAUUCUUUCCCCUAAAGGUAGGAGAUCGAUUGGGUGUAGAUAGCAAAUCGGGGGUUUUGUGUUCUAGGGCUUGUGAAGUGUUUUCCGGCCAAACCUUUGAUUUGUGGGUUUUGUGUUAGUUAGAAUUGUUGUUAAGCUUGAUGAGAGGAAGAGUUUGGGGUAUGCUUUGAAAUUUUGCUCGGAAUUGUGGGAGAGAUGGUGGUUGACUGCCACUGCCGGCAGUUGACCGCCACUGCUGGUGGUUGCUGCCAUUUAUGGUGGUGGUUGUGAAGAGUUUUGUUGGAUUUUUCUAGAAGGGUAUUAAGUUGUUAUAGUGUAAAAGGAUUUUUGGUGAAGAGUGCUUGGAAAUUGGAAAUUAGGAAAGUUUAAGUUGAUUUUGGUGAAAGAAUAGAGGUGAGCCGCAUCCUUGGGAAUUUCCAUAUUUGUGCUUAAGUGUUAGAACGUUGAGGAAAAAUUGGAGACGGUUAGUAAAAAUGGUUGGAGUUCUCCUUAGUUUUUGGAGAGUGUAGAGUGAGGGUAGAUGGCUUUGCCCUAUUUUGUUAAUUUGAUAUUCUUGUAUUAUUUUUGUCUCGGACCUUAAAUCUCAUUUUGUACAGGACGAGAGGAGACACCACGUGAGGAGGGCUCUGACCGACGUCAGGCUUAGCCGUCAAUAUUGUGAGUGGACACUUUGUUUUUAAUGGAAUAUGCAUGCAUGAUUGGAGAUUUGAAAUAAGUGGAUUAUUUGGUUUAAUGAUUACUUUGAGCAUCUUAACGUGUGGGACACGUUAUUAAAUUUAAUUUAUUUCUUUUCUCAUGGAAUUUUCCGUGUGCGGUUGGGAAUCGUACUUAUGUUUUAAAGAUGAGUUUCGGGGAAACUCCCAUGAAAUUAUAUUUUUCUUUCAUAUGCUAUAUUUGUGUGAUUAUAUGAUGUCCAUGCUAGUAUGUCGUUCCACCUUUCGAGGUGAUGUGACUUCCACGUUUCAAGUGGGGUCACGCAAGCCCUUUCCAUCCUAGUGGUAAUGUGAUGUUGCCGGCGGCAUCACGCAAGCCCUGUACCCUAUCCGUCAACUCGACGUGAAGGUACAGGGAGUAUGGGAGUACUAUGCCUGGGAGGCAAUCGAGUCUGGGAGACUCACUUAUAUGGCCAUAUAGAAUAUUUUUCUUGAGUUGUUAAUUUGACUAGCGGGGCUAGUCCAUCAUCUUGGAAGUUUCUUAUAUGAGGAAUCCGUUUAUUUUCUUAUUGCUUUAUGACUAGCGGGGUUAUGGUGAAUGUUGUUGAGAUUAUAAUAUUUGCAUGCAUAUAAAUUCUUAAUUACGUAUAAAUGGAAAAGCAUAUAAAAAGUGAUUUUGUAUUAUUUUAUUCUUGGAUGCAUAUUAAUUAGUUUACUUUCCGUCCACUCACGCUAAUGUUUUUAAAUGCUUUUCCCUGGGCUCUUUGUUUUCAAAUGCCCAGAUUGCAGAGCUCCUGUUCGGUUUCCCUAGGAAUUGAGGCAUAGUUUUCCCGCUGCUCCUUGCUGAUCGUAGGUUACCUGUUAAUCUAUGUGUAGUUGUUUUAUUUUCCUCCCUUAGUGCUCUGAGAACCAUGGGAUGAUGUAAAUUAAGUUGAAGUGUUUUUCUUUAGGACUAUGUCUCAAGUAGAGAGUUUAAUCUUGGUUGAUGUUCAUGUUAAUUAAUGUAGUUGAGAAUUUGGUUUGGUUGUUAAGUACUGCUAUGACUUUGGUUCUUGUUAUGGGGAGUGAAGGACUCCUGGAGUGGUGGUUGACGAUUAUAGUUGAAGUGUUCAGUUUCAUUACAGGAUGGGUUGUCCAUUUUUAGGGGAGGUUAUGCCGAAAUUUUGGUAUAAUCUCUUUUAAGAGUGGACCCCGCAAGACUUGCCUGUUUUACUAGGUGUUUUCGGGGUGGGUCUUGUCAGGCACAUCAGGCUUUGGUUGAUUGUUUCCAGAAAACUGUAGUGUUCCGAAGUCCGGGAAAGCCAGAGAUUACAUUUUGUGGAGAGCGAAAUGUUUUGCCAUCUUGCUUGAUUUCAGCAGAAACAGCGGGAAAAUUGCUGAGUAGGGGUUGUCAGGCAUAUUUGGCCCAAGUUGUGGAUACUCGUAUGGGAGUUCUUAAGGUUGAAGACAUUCCUGUAGUUAAAGAGUUCCCUAAUGUUUUUCCUGAGGAGUUACCUGGUUUACCUCCUACAAGGGAGAUAGAGUUUACCAUCGAAUUACUUCCUGGAACAGCCCCUAUUUCUCAAGCACCCUACAGGAUGGCCCCGGCGGAAUUGAAGGAGUUGAAGGUCCAAUUGCAGGAGUUAGUGGACAAGGGUUUCAUAAGGCCUAGUAUGUCUCCUUGGGGUGCCCCAAUAUUGUUCGUUAGGAAGAAGGAUGGUAGUAUGAGACUGUGCGUUGAUUAUAGGAAGUUGAAUCAAGUUACUGUGAAAAAUAAGUAUCCUUUGCCCCGCAUAGAUGAUUUGUUUGAUCAGUUGAGGGGUGCUAAAGUCUUUUCCAAGAUUGACUUGAGGUCCGGGUAUCACCAGUUGCGGAUUAGAGACUCUGACAUAGCCAAGACUGCCUUUCGGUCACGCUAUGGUCACUAUGAGUUUGUGGUGAUGCCGUUUGGGUUGACAAAUGCACCCGCUGCUUUCAUGGAUUUGAUGAAAAUAUAGGGUGUUUCGCCCAUAUCUAGACCGUUUUGUCAUUGUGUUCAUUGAUGAUAUUCUGAUUUAUUCAAAGAGUGAGAAGUUACACUCUAAACAUUUGAGUCUGGUGCUUCAGACUUUGAGGUGUGCAGAGCUAUAUGCCAAGUUUAGUAAAUGCGAGUUUUGGCUUGAUAGUGUUGGAUUUUUGGGCCAUGUUAUUUCAGCUGAAGGUGUUAGUGUGGAUCCUCAAAAGGUGGAAGCGGUGACUAAUUGGAGUAGGCCUAAUAGUGUAACAGAGAUUUGUAGUUUCUUGGGUCUAGCAGGCUAUUAUCGUCGUUUUGUACGAGAUUUCUCUAAGAUCGCCGCUCCACUUACAAGAUUGAUGAGGAAAGGAGUUAAGUUUGAGUGGUCUGAGAAAUGUGAGCAGAGUUUUCAGGAACUCAAGAAUCGGUUAACUAGUGCUCCUGUUUUGGCUUUGCCUGAUAAUAGUGGAGAAUAUGUGAUAUAUUGUGAUGCAUCAAGAGUGGGUUUGGGUGGUGUGCUUAUGCAGCAUGAAAAUGUAAUUGCCUAUGCUUCUAGGCAACUUAAGCCGCAUGAGUUGAAUUAUCCAACCCAUGAUUUAGAGCUUGCCGCGGUGGUCUUUGCAUUGAAGUUAUGGAGACACUAUCUUUAUGGAGCUAAGUGUCAGAUCUUUACGGAUCACAAAAGUCUCCGAUAUAUUUUUACGCAAACAGAAUUGAAUUUGAGGCAAAGGAGGUGGAUGGAGUUGAUUAAAGAUUAUGAUUGCACUAUUGAGUACCAUCCUGGAAGAGCGAAUGUGGUGGCAGAUGCUCUUAGUCGGAAGCCUACCUGUAGCUUGUCCUAUGUGAGGACAGUUCGACUUCCUCUUCUUUAUGAACUUCGAGCUACAGGAGUUGAUUUGUCUAUGGAUAGAGUUGGUACUUUGGUUGCUAGUUUCCAUGUGAGACCGAUUCUGAUUGACAGAGUGCGAGAGGCACAAUAUCAAGACCCUUCCAUUGUCUGCUUGAUUGAAAGAACACGUGGUGGCACCACGGUGGGAUUCUCGAUUGGAAAAGAUGGGGUAUUAUUAUUUAAAAAUAUACUUUGUGUGCCGAAAAGGAAUGAAGUGCUGAAGCAAGAGAUUUUGGAGGAAGCUCAUAGUUCUCCUUAUGCGAUGCAUCCUGGCAGUACUAAGAUGUAUUGGACUUUGAGGGAAUUUUAUUGGUGGCCAAAUAUGAAGAGAGAGAUUGCGGCUUUUGUGAGUAGAUGCUUGGUUUGCCAGCAGGUGAAAGCUGAAAGGCAGAAACCAGCAGGGUUGCAACAACCCCUGGAGAUUCCAGUGUGGAAAUGGGAUCAUAUCACUAUGGACUUUGUUUAUGGUCUACCUCGCUCUCGAGAUGGUCAUGAUGGUAUUUGGGUGAUUGUUGAUCGACUCACCAAAUCAGCACACUUCCUACCGGUUAAUAAAACCGAUAAAUUGGAGCAAUUGGCGGGAUUGUAUGUAAAUGAGAUUGUUAGACUUCAUGGGGUGCCAGAAUCUAUAGUAUCUGAUCGGGAUCCCCGUUUUGUGUCAAAGUUUUGGAAAGGGUUGCAGGCGGCUUUGGGGACUCGAUUAUGUUUUAGCACUGCCUUUCAUCCACAAACCGAUGGGCAAUCCGAGAGAACUAUUCAGACCUUAGAAGAUAUGUUGAGGUCUUGUGUGAUGCAAUUUAGAGGGAGUUGGGAUAAGAAAUUGGUUUUGAUGGAAUUUGCCUAUAAUAACAGUUUUCAUUCUAGUAUUGGUAUGACACCAUUUGAGGCCUUAUAUGGGAGGCAAUGUCGUACACCCUUAUGCUGGAAUGAAGUGGGAGAAAGAGAAUUUGCUGCUCUAGAAAUUGUAUUCCAUACUAAUGAGAACAUCAAGGUAAUCAGAGAUAGAAUCAAGGCAGCUCAGAGUAGGCAGAAAAGUUAUGCAGAUAACCGCAGAAGGGACCUUGAAUUUCAGGUUGGCGAUUGGGUAUUCCUGAAGUUAUCCCCAUGGAAGGGUGUGAUUCGGUUUGGGAAACGUGGAAAACUUAGCCUAAGGUACAUCGGUCCUUAUGAAAUUACGGAGCGGGUUGGCCCAAUAGCUUAUCGUUUGAGAUUAUCUCCAGAGUUAUCCAGGAUGAUGUUUUCCAUGUGUCUAUGCUCCGUAAGUAUGUAGCCGAUCCUUCUCAUGUCUUGCAAGAGCAACCCAUUAGUUUAAAGAAGGAUUUGACCUACGAAGAAGAACCGGUUCAGAUCUUAGAUCAAAAAGAGAAAGUGCUAAGAAAUAAGACAGUUCGACUUGUUAAAGUCCUCUGGAGAAGUCAUCAGGUUGAGGAGGCUACUUGGGAACCUGAGGAUCAGAUGAGACAUCAGUAUCCCCACCUCUUUUUUUGACAGGUAUGGAAAUUUCGAGGACGAAAUUUUUAUAAGGAGGGGAGAAUUGAUACACCCCGAACCUAGUAAUUAUUUUUUAUAUUGUGAUUUCCGGUUUAGUGGUAGCUAAUCAAUUCGGAAAUUUAUUCCGGUUAUUUUUGAUAGAGGUGGUUUAUUCGAGUUCAUGGAUUUUUUUUUAGUUACCCGAAUAUGAGUUUGUAAUUAGAGGGUAGCUAAAAUAAUAAUAGAGUCCAUUUUUGGGCUAGGUUUUUAAGUGGGACUUGUCUUAUUUGAUAGAGAAAGAAAAACAGAAAAGUUAGCCUCUCAUCUCUCUCUCCCCGACCUCCCGAGGCCGUCCGACUCUCCUCAACGGAAAGCCGUUGUCCGGCCACGCCUAGUCGCCGCGCCAGUCUCGUACGGCAGCUGGGACACUGCUCGUCCUUCCUAGGGUGGUGGCCGUCCUCCUCUCUCCGGUAGCAGCUCACGGGAGCGCUCUCAAGCCGCCGGUUUUGUGGAGCCGAAACUGUUUUCUCCGGCCACCGAUUCCAAUGAUCCGUUGGGGGGUUUUGUAGCCCUUCUCUAGACCAUUCAACCAUUUUAAGGUGAUAGAACAAUUCGGGGUGUAUAGAGCAAAUCGGUUUUAGUGUGUCCUUGAGCUUUGGAGGUAUUUCCGGCCAACUCUUUAGUUUCUGGGUUUAAUACUAGUUAUGUUUGUUGUUGUGCGUAUGGAGAGGAAGAGUUUGGCUUAUGCCUUAUUAAUUUUGGUUGAAGUUGAUUAAGGUGGUGGUGGUUGACCGCCGCUGCCAGCGGUUGACUGCUGCCGGUUUUGGUGGUGGUUUUGAGUAAUUUUGGAUUAUUUCUAGAAGGGAUAAAUGUUGUUGUAUUGUAUGGUGAUUUUUAGUGAAGAGUGCUUGGAAAUUGGGAUAGUUUUGAUGGCUCCAUGGGUGAGAGAUGAGUGGUAUUGAAGUAUUGGAAAUUUUGGUGAGUGUUAGUAGGAAUUUAGGAAAGUUUAAGUUGAUUUUGGUGAAAGAGUAGAGGUGAGCCUCAUCCUUGGGAAUUUCCAUAUUUGUGCUCAAGUGUUAGAACGUUGAGGAAAAAUUGGAGACGGUUAGUAAAAAUGGUUGGAGUUCUCUUUAGNNNNNNNNNNNNNNNNNNNNUCGGACCUUAAAUCUCGUUUUGUACAGGACGAGAGGAGACACCACGUGAGGAGGGCUCUGACCGACGUCAGGCUUAGCCGUCAAUAUUGUGAGUGGAUAUUUUAUUUUAUUUUUAAAAGGGAUAUGCAUGCAUGGUUUGUUUAGAAAAUUAUUCCCUCUAUGAAAUGAUCUUAAGAACAUGAUUUGAGUUAUUUUCUUUAAAGCAUGUUAACGUGUGAGACACGUUGAAUUUAAGUAAUCAUCUUGCUCUUGGAAUAAUUAUGAUAUCAAGCUAGCAUGUUGUUCCACAUUUCGAGGUGAUAUGGCUACUACGUUUCAAGUGGGGUCAUGCAAGCCCUUUCCACCCUAGUAGUGAUGUGAUGUUGCCGGUGGCAUCACGCAAGCCUUGUGCCCUAUCCGUCAACUCGACGUGAAGGUACAGGGAGUAUGGGAGUACUAUGCCUGGGAGGCAACCGAGUCUGGGAGACUCACUUAUAUGGCCAUAUAAGUUAAUUUAUUGAGUUGUUAAUUUGACUAGUGGGGUUAGUCCACUAUUUUAGAAAGUGUCGUAUGUGAGGAAUUUAAUUAUUUUUCUUAUUAAAUUAUGACUAGCGGGGCUAGCGUGAAUUUUUGAUGAGCUCAUAAAAUUUGCAUGCAUGGUAAUUCUUAAAAAACGUAUAAGUGGAAAAGCAUAUAAAAAUUUGAUUUAGUAUCUUUAUGUUCUUAGAUACUUAUUAAUUAGUUUAUUUUUCGUCCACUCACGCUAACGUUUGUUUUUAAAUACUUUACCCUGGGCUUUUUGUUUUCAACUGCCCAAACUGCAGAGCUCCUGUUCGGUCUCCCUAGGAGUUGAGGCAUAGUUUUCCCGCUACUCCUUGCUGAUCAUAGGUUACAUGUUAACCUAUGCGUAGUUGUUUUAUUUUCCUUCCUUAGUGCUCUGAGAACCAUGAGAUUAUGUAAAUUAAGUGGAAGUGUUUGCUUUAGGUCUAUGACUUAAAGUAGAGAGUUUAAGUUUGGGUGAUGUGCAUGUUAAUUAAUACAGUUGGAUACUUGAUUUGGUUGUUUAAGUAUUGAUAUAACUUGGUUCUUGUUGUGGGGAGUGAAGGACUCCAGGAGUGGUGAUUGUUGAUUAUAGUUGAAGUGUUCUUGAUUCUUUUCUCGCAGGUUGGGUUGUCCAUUUUUAGGGGAGAUUAUGCCAAAAUUUCGGUAUAAUCUCUUUUAAGAGUGGACCCCGCAAGACUUGCCUGUUUUACUGUGUGUUUUUGGGGCGGGUCUUGUCAUUUUCUGUAUUUGAUUUGGCACUUACUCAAUGAUUCAGUUUUGUUAGUAAUUUGAACCGUGGAGACACCAAGGGUUAACUUGUUAAAUUGUUAUAGCUUAGUUGUCUGCUAAAUGGUUAUAGCUUAGUUGUCUUUAUGAAAAUAUUGUAAUUUGUUCUUUAAUAUUUUUUUGUAUUUGAUUUCGCACUUACUCAAUGAUUUAGAUCCCUUUAGUAGUUUGAAUCGUGGACACCAAGGAUUAAGGCUUGCCAAAUGGUUAUAGCUUGCUUAGUUCUCUUUCCACACUAUAUGAAAACAAGAUUGUAAAUAAAAUUGAGGCUAACCGCAUGCGACCCUUUCAAAUAACUUCUUUUGCCGAAGAUUUGAAUGUUUUUUUUAAUACUUUUUGAAUGUUACUAAGAACGAUUAUUAUAUGUCAAAUGAUACAAUAGGGCAUUGAUAAAUAAAUGUAGUUAACUAAUGUUAAAAGGGAAAAAAACGCACGCGCGAGCGUGGUCAUUUCGGAAGGCUAGUAAUAAAUAAAAUCAUUAAAUAUGAAAUUCUUUUUUUUUUUUGGAAUUUUUAUUUUCUCACAAAUAAUUAAAUAUAAUCGAAUAGGUCUAGUAUAUAUUGAUGGAUUUAUAUUAUUGAGUUUGAGAGGCUCGAUAUUUAAAAGAUGAAAGUUUUAUCGUUUGAGGCAUGCAUUCGAUUUGUUUGGAAAUUUAAUUUGGGAAAGCAUUAAUUAUUUUUGUUAAAUUUAUUUUUGUCCACUCACUCUAACGUUUGCAAAUGUUUUCCCUUAGGCCCUUCGUUUUAAAAAUGCCCAGUAUACAGGUUAGCAUAGUUGAGGUCGAGCGUACAUGGAAAAGAGGCAUAGUCAAUAGUAUAGCGUCCGCUCAUUUUUAUAUUCCUAGUUCCUUUCCUCUCAGAUAGAGUUGCUCUGAACUGUGGUUGUUGGUUGUGAGAUUUUCUUUUUAAAGUUAGUAAAUAAAUUGGGAGAUGUUGUGAUUUGGGGAGCACGAAGGCUCCAGGAGUUUAAGGUUGGAUUUGGAUUUUCAGAAGUAUAUGCAGGUUUUAUUAGGAAGGGUUGUCCAUUUUUAAGGGAGGUUAUACUGAAUUUUCGAUAAAUUUUCCUUAAAGGUGGUCCCCGCAGGAUUUACUUCCGGUUUCAGGGUGAAAUUCGGGAUGGGUCUUGACAACAACAAUAAAACUCAUUUCAAAUAUUGGAUAAAUGAAUCAAAUUUCGGUAGCAUACUCAAACGCAUGAUCAUUACAAGAUAAAUGAAGUUAGCAUACUUUGUUUCUUUCUUAAGAGGAAUGUAGGCAUUCACAAGAGACUUAGAAUUUGGUCUCUUACAAUGAUCAAACUGCAAGAGAUCAGCCAUAAACAGGCACAACAUCAACAACCAAAACCUAUGAGCACAAUCUAGAGAGGCAACAUAUAUCUUCAUGAACCGUACUUAUAACUAAUUUCCAUAGAAUACCAUGAUAGAAUACCCAAGGCUAAGUAACCCUAAAGUGGCAAUAUCAUCCAGAUCUCUUAGUCCAUUUAAGCUAAUGAUACCAAUAGGUAACUGUGCAUGAUAUCACUAAUGCAAAAAUCAGAAAAAUAACUAGAUUGAAGGCAGAAAUGCAAUAAACCCACUUAC